GUGGGGAAUCUUGCGCAAUGGGCGAAAGCCUGACGCAGCCAUGCCGCGUGAAUGAUGAAGGUCUUAGGAUUGUAAAAUUCUUUCACCGGGGACGAUAAUGACGGUACCCGGAGAAGAAGCUCCGGCUAACUUCGUGCCAGCAGCCGCGUUAAUACGAAGGGGGCUAGCGUUGCUCGGAAUUACUGGGCGUAAAGGGCGCGUAGGCGGACAGCUUAGUCAGAGGUGAAAGCCCAGGGCUCAACCUUGGAAUUGCCUUUGAUACUGGCUGUCUUGAGUUUGGGAGAGGUGAGUGGAACUCCGAGUGUAGAGGUGAAAUGCGUAGAUAUUCGGAAGAACACCAGUGGCGAAGGCGACUCACUGGCCCAAUACUGACGCUGAGGCGCGAAAGCGUGGGGAGCAAACAGGAUUAGAUACCCCUGUAGUCC
rnacentral:rRNA from 1 species